GAAAAUGGUUGUUAGAUAGAUUAGUCGAUGCUGCUCACGGCUUGAGCACAAACACAACAAGAGAGAAGGAUUCUCUUGAAAACGAGUGCGGGGAGCUUUGAAGCAAGGAGGAGCUUUAGUACCUAUGACCGAGAACUGUUUCUUUUCCCUUAGAAAUUAAAAUCAAUUUUGUUUGUUUUCACAUGUCUUUACAAUUUUCUGUUUUUUCGCUUUUUCAUUUUCUGUUGAUGCUGUUACCCUACAAAAUUGGUUAAUAUGACCUACAAAUAGUGGGAAGUAGUAGGAAAAAGGAGAUAAAACAGGGUGGUUUUGUUUUCCUUUCUGAUGAAAGUCUUUUCUUUACCGUUUAUGGAUUCAAACUUGCUAUGUUUGACUUCUUUAGUAGAAGGUCUCUUUUCGUCUUUUUCGCUUUUGUCACUGCCAAAAAGGCACGGUGGCUUGAUAAACAACAUGCAUGUGGUACGACUUCCUUAUAUAAAUACAACAUCACACAUUAUCACUGCCUCUUUUCUGUCAACCAAACUAAAUAUGAUAAAACGGUCUCUUCUACAAAACACACUUUUGCAGGUUUAGAAGAAGACGAUGAGAAAUUCUUCAAUAAUUCAUAAACUCCGUCAAUACCAACCACCAAAUGCAGCAAUUUAAUUAAAUAAAUUUUAAAUUCAUAUAUAAUUUAAAUUUCUCAAAAUCUAUAAAUAAAAAUAAUAUAUAACAUAAAAUUUUGAAUAAUGUAUGCUAAAAUACCUAUACUUAACCUAAAAAUUAGUUUAGCUUGAAAAUUUGGAUGGAGAAUCAAUCAAUAGACAUUUUAAGUAUUUUGGUGUUUUGAGUUAGCUAUUUUAGAUAUUUAUUUUUGACUAUUUGUAUAUAUUUUUAAAUAUUUUAGACAAUUUCAAAAUAUCUUAUACAUUUUAGAUAUUUUUUUGGAUAUUAUAUCUAAAAAUAGCUAACAUAUUCAGGUACAUAAUUCUAAUUUGGAUAUAUUCGGGUAUCUAAAAUAUUUUGGUUUGGAUCGGGUUCGGUUCUGGUUCUUUAGAUACCAAAAUUUUGAACCCGUUCGGAUAUUUAACUAAUUUCGAUUCGGGUACGGUACUACUUUUUGGAUCGUAUUUGGUUCGGUUCUUCGGAUUCUCGGAUUUUUUGCCCAACCCUAGCAAAGCCAGAAAAAGUUAUAGUAGGUUCAGGCCCAUCUUUGGGCAAGUGCAAGUGGUGCUUAUGCAGGUAGCCCCGCCCGUAAUAAACAAACGAACAUAUAAUAUAAAUUUAUUUAAAAUAUUUAACUUAUUCUCAACUUCAAUUAAAUUAAUUUUUUUUAUUAAAAUAUUUUAUCAAUUUUUUUGAUUAUUUAUUAAAAAAACCGUAAAACUAAUUUAAUUAUUAAAAUUUCUAUAGAAGAUUAUUGUUUUGCUUUCUUUCAACUAUGAUGUAUAACCAAUAAGACAAAAAUUAUUCAUUUUUUUUAGUUUCGAGGCCAAAAAACUAGAUGCGGAGCCAUAAAAUUCUUCAACGAUGUAUGAUUUUUGUUUUUUUUGCAAAUAAUUGUUUUAAUCGUGAUGUAUUAAUACAAUUGUUAUCGACAAUUGUAAAAUUUUAGUUUGUUUAUCAAGAUAAUAAUAGCUAUUAGAAAGAAACAAAAUUGCAACAAAUAAUCAGUAAAAAUAUUAAUUAAGAAUUACUUACCAAAAUAAAUCAUUUUAAUCAAAAAAAAUUUAAUUACAUUUAAGUAGUAAAUGAUAUAAAUCAGCAGUUGUAAGUGAUACAUAUUUUUGAAUAAUUCUUAAAAUUGAUACUAAGUUUGUGUAAAAUAAAAUGAUGCAAAUAAUUUAUAUUAUUACAUCAAUUAUUAAAUAAAUUGAUGUAAAUUAUUUGCAUCACCAAUUAGUUUAGUACAACCGAUACAGCUAAAGCAACAUACUAACAUGUAGUUCAACCACAAUGUUUAAAACAUGAUACACAUUUAAAAAUUGAUGCACAAUAAAAGAUGAAAUAACAUAGUUGUACUAGUAUUUGAGUUGUACUGGUUUGUACAUAGUUGUACGAGUUUUUGAGUUGUACCGGUUUGUACAUAGUUGUAUUUAGGCAUUGAAAUCGAAAAAACUAGUUGUACCACAUAAAAUUUAAACUUACCUCAGUUGUACCACUUCUUUAUGUGUACAUGUCUUUGCCCCAAUAAAAUGAAAUCAUCAAUUUUGUUAAAAUACAUUUCAUGUAUGUUUUCCAAAAAUUAUGUGGACAAAGAAGUUAACAAACCUUAAAAGUAUAAGGUAGAUCAUGCAAACUUAUGAGAUGAUGUAAAAACUGCAAAAAAAAAAAAAAUAUCACAAAUAAAAAAGAACCUAUCUAAAUACUUAUCAAUUUGGCCAGCUAAUUGUUUUUUUUUUCAUAUGGAUUAUCCAAUGAAAUAUUUCAAUUUCAGAAUUUGAAUAGUUGUACUAGUUAUAUCAGUCUCACUAGUCUGGUAAAUAAGACAUAGUUGGAAUAGUUAUACCAGUAUCACCUCUAUUGUUUGAUACAUAUGCAAAAGUUGUAUUAGUUGUACCAUAGACAAAAACUAUUUAUUCUAUAAUAUCAUGCUUCAUACUUUAACAACAUUAAAUUAAAUCUUAAAAUCUGACUCAUAACGUUACAAGUUAUAGGAGUUGCACAUGACUAUUACUAGUUAUACGAAUUGUAUCAAUACCACCUAUUCAAUGUGUUACACAAGUUGUACCAGAUUUACUAAUGAUACGUUUUCUAUAAAAAUGCCAGUAAUAUUACAUCAGUUGUACCAGUGAAACCAGUUGUUAAAGAAUUUUGUGUUACAAGUUGUACCAGUUGUACCAUAGACAAAAACGAUUUGUUUCUACAAUUUCAUGUUUCAUACUCUAACAACAUUAUAUCAAACCUUAUAAUCUGACUAAUGCGGUUAACAUGUAUUUAUAUGACUUAACCGAAACAAAUAACAAUAAAAACAUAAGAGAGAAAGACAAAAAAGAGAGAGGAAGAGAGUCUACACUUACCAAUCUAUUUCAGAACCAAGGACGACGCAAAUGGGAUGUUUCACGACGUCAUAACCUGUAGAAAGACCCUAAGAAACAGAGGCAAAGGUUUGUGGGUGAAGAGUUGAAGAAGAGAGGUUUGGUUGGUGAGGUGAAUGAAUUUUCGGAGUGGUUGGGUAUGGUUGAGAAAGAAAUGAAGAAGAAGAAGUGGUUAAAUUUUAUGUGGGACCCAAGAGAAAUCUGAUGGCCAAGAUUAAAACAUACUCAUAAGAUCCGUCGGCUGAGAGACAAGCUUCAUUAAUGGCCUUAUUGUAAUUAUUUCAUCUUUAAAAAUCGGACGGCUCAGAUUAUAACGUGAAGAAUCAGAUCUAAUGGUUGAUAUUAAACUUUCAUUAAGGGCACAAUCGUAAUUUACUUCCAUUUGUCCCAUAAGAGAUUAGUUUUGGUGGUUAUAGAUUUUUUUUUGUCCUUUGUCCCUUUGUAGAUUAAAGUCCGUCUCUAAGGGUCGAAUGAAUAAGUUGCCGUGGAUGGGUUUCCUUGGAAAUAAAUUACGUGGAUGAAUUCCCGUGGAUAUGUUGGCUUGUAUCAUGCAAUGACUCUUUUUCUUUGGUCAUGUUUUCUUCAUUCCAACAACUAAGUCAUUGCUUCUUCCUUCUUCAUUUCAACACUCCUUCUCAAUCUUGACCAUAGAAGAUCCUUGGAUAAGCUUGGAACCUUGAAGAAGCUCCCUCAUUAAAACCUUAGCAAGAAAACUUUUUGGGAUCAAACCUUGCUAAAGGAAAAAGAGUAGAGUUCAACAAGGCCUAGGGAUUGGCCAGUGAGUCCAAGGAACUUCAGAUUACUCAUGGUAGAGUCUUUAGACUCUGGAUCAUGGCCUAACUUGUGCUGAAAGAGUGAACUCCACAACUUGCACACAUCAACUUCUUGGAUCUCUUCUUUACGCUAGUUUGAUGUCUCCCCCUCUCUUCUGACUACUCGCCAUCUUCAAAGGGGUUUAUGGACCACCAGCUUCUACUACAAAGAGCCCCAAGUACUUUGAAAUCUCUACUGUAGCCUCUCUUGAAGCUUCAUCAAUCAGGUACAAGCACACAUGUUAGGGGCUGAUUCAUAGUUUCCCAACUGAAGGUAACUAUUCUAAAUCCAUGUAGAAGAUGAUCCAUAGCUUCUAACCAGAAGGUAACUGUUCUAACUCCAUGCCUUGGGAUGAUCUAUAACUUCCCCAGAGAAAACGUUUUUAUUGGGUACCGCGUACAGUAAGGAAAAAUAUAGUUUUUAUUUAUUGAUAUUAUUAUUAUUAUUGCAGGAAAUAGAUCUAUAAAUAAAAGAGAGAAGAUUGAAAUGUUAGUGACAUUCACGUAGAAUACAAUAAGACCCUCCAUAUUUUCAUUCGAGCGACAGAUUUUAAAAAGGUGUUAUUUAUUUUCAUUUUAAGAUUAUUUUGUAAGUUUGCAAAUAAUUAUGUGCUGAUAUGUAAUUGUUUGUUAGAAUCAUAUAUAUAAGACCAUCUCUAAUGGUUUUCCUCAUUUUUUCCCCUCAAAAUGAAGUAAACUCAAAAUAAAGUAAACUCAAAAUGAAUUUGUGAUUUGCUCCAAUGGUUCCUCUCAUUUUCUUCCUCAAAUUUUAUUAUAUUCAUUUUUCAACUUUUUAUAUAUUGCAAAGAACACCUUUAUUUUAUAAGAUUUUAGAUUAUUUUCACUUAUUUUUAAAUUAUACAAUUUAACCAAACUUCAACUUGUAAAAAGCAAAUACUUAUUACCUACAGGCUCUUGAAUAGUUUGUACUAUGGUAGACCAUUUUGGAUAUAUUCGAUCAGCCAAAUAAUAACUCAUAUUAUAUUUUUUUCCUUGAAUGACAUAUUGAGCAGGAUGAGCAAUACCUUGAGAAAGAUUGGAGAAAAGAUGAGAAAAUUCUUACACAUUGAUAUCAUUAUUGGUGCCCGGCAUACCAAAAUAUGUAUGUCAUAUCCAAAGAUCAUAUUGGGUAUAAAGUUAUAAAAGUUAUGUUUAGUGUUAAUGUUUUGUUUAUGCAUAAAAUAAAGAUUGUCAUUAAAUAAAGGAUCAUUAUGUAAAUAAAAAAAGCUUGACAUCAAAAAUGAGGUUGUGAAUAGUGUUCCCUCAAAUUUGAUGGAAUACUGUUCAUAUACUCAGUUUUUCCUCAAAAUGAUGUACCAUUAGAAAUGAAUUUUUCUUAUUUUUUGAUGUUUUUUCUCAUUUUGAUGCACCAUUGGAGAUGCUCUAAUGGAUCUCUUUCCUCUUUUCUUGUUUGCAUUUGUUAAUGAUUGUGGGGUCCAUUUAAUGUUGGUUAAGUGUGGUCGUUUUGGUUUAGUCUGGUCUGAUUUGUGUUCUCCGCUUUUAGUUCCAUAAAUGAGUAAAACUCUGCCUGUUUCAAGUCUCAUCGGAUUAGGACUUCAAUGUCCUCUUGGCAGAACUCAACCUGGUUGUCUCCUCUUUAAUGGUCCUCUACUCAUCUCUUCACCUCACCCUAUGUUAUCUCUUCACCUCCCUGAGGUUCAAUGUAUUUUUUUUUUAAUUUGGCAAUUAAUGUCGACGCCUCUGUUUCCUUGAAAUCUAUAUAUAUAUAUCAGGGGGUUGAGAGUAGAAGGGAUAUUCAGAACCUCUAUCAGAUUCUCAUUUUCUUAAGCGUUUAAUUGAUCUCAAAAAUGUCUUCCUCCGAUACCGUUCUCGCGCAAUCAGGCUUUGACGCCGUCCGUUGUCGGAAGAUCUGUGGAAUCACUCUUAUCCUCCUUGAUGAGAAGGUAUUGCAAAGAACAUGUUUUUUUUUGUUAGAUCGUUAUUUUAUUGAAAAGCUGAUGGUAAGCCCAGAAGUGAAGCUGAUCUUCAGGGUCAUUCAUUUAUGAUAAGCCCGGAACCCUGCGUACUAAUUGGCAUAGAUGCUCCUAAUUGAUUAUGAACAAAUCUUUCUAAUAGACAGUGGUUCUUCAAAUGGAGCUUGCAAACUAAUAGAGCUUACUAUGAUACUUUGCAGGCUUCUCACGUAUCCCCAUCUACAAGGUACACGAGAGGCUAGGGCUCACAAAAUUCAUUGGUUUGUUUCUGUGAUGAAUCUUUAUAGUUGAUAGUUUGACUCUAUUUUCCUUACGUACUAUGCAUAUGAGUUUGUGAGCUAAGCUUGCUUGAUGAAUUGCUUGGCAAUUGGUUACCUUUUGAUUAAAAGAGAUCUUACUUUUGGAUCCUAUAUGCAGGCUUACAUCACCGCACAACAACCAUGAGUUUAUUCCCUUGUCAAGCUUCCAUGGCGGCGUCUCAAGAUUUCAAACCCUAACCCAUUUAUUUGUUUCCUCUGCAAGCUUUUCUAGCUCAUCUCCCUGUCUCCCCAAGUAAGCUGACCUCAAAAUGACACAUACUACUACUACACAUGAUCUGUUUCAAAACAUGAUGUAUAGUAAAGUUAAGAGUUAUUUUUCCUUUUUGACGAAUUUACGAUGAUAUUUUGAAACACAGAUUUGUGAAGGAAUGACAACACAUGUGGCUGAUACGUCUGCCAUUUCUCAGCUUCAAGUCAGAAGCAGUACUGAAAAAUGAAGUUAAGAAGAGAAACCUCUUUAUAACAUUUUCCUUCGCUUUCUUCAAGAGUGAGACCCUUGUAUCAUGCACAAUGAAGUAUAUCAGGAAGAGAGAAACACAUAUCACCCAAAUCCACAGAUCAGUACUCAAGCUCAUGCAGAAAAAAAAUACCAGGUGAGCGAAAACCUCCAAACUUAAUUGUUCGUAUUUAUAGUGAUCGUUAGCUCAUAAACAAUAUUUAAUAUUUGAGUUGGUCAGCCGAGAGCUAUAUGGGAAUCUCUAGAGGGAGCGUCUCAAUAGAUCUGCCAUGUGAGUCCAAGCCAUGUUCAGGUAUAUGCAAGCUCAAGAGGAUGAAGCUCAUGUAAGAUUAUGUUUUAAUUUUAUCAUUCUCUGAACCUCUCAGUUUAGAAAACGCACACACACACACUCUAAAUGAUACUUGAAUAAACAGAGAGUAUUUGUAUAUGGUGUGAUCCCGUUGGAGUGUGACUGUGCAAGAUAUUUGAUCAGAAUGGUGGCUAUGGAUAUGUCAAUCUAAGAUAUUGAUAUAGUAUACUACUCUUGCCCAUCUUUUGCAUGAUUUAAGAAUGGGGUUUCCUCAACGUUUUAGAUAGGAGUUGACCUUUUGUAACUAUUGAUCAUCUUCUUCUUUGCAAAUACUUAAAAAAAUUAAGUCAAGUGACAUACUUUAAUUCCCACUGAUUAUAUAUAUACUUUUAUUAUUUUAAUCAUUUUUUUUUGUUCAUAUAUAUGAUGGAAGUUCAGAAGAUAGCGUAAAGGUUAAGCAGCAGACUACUGAAAUAUGAGUCAAGAAGCUUGCUACGGCAUAUUGUGAAGGAUGUUCCAAACAAUUUACUGAAGCAUAUACCCUUGAGAACAAUGAAGGCAAGCCUGUUACUAACUCUAGAGACGUCCAAGAAGUAUCAGACCUGUAAAGUUAUGUUCUCGAUUUGGUUUUCUUAUAUUGAAGUUUCUUUUGUGGGCUUGUUAUAGGUCAAGUUGGAGCAAGGUUUGAAGUUUUUGAAAAUUUUCAAGGAGCAUACGAGCAAGAUUUGCAUUUUGGAUGACGUUUCCUUCUAUGAGGUUCGACAGAAGAUUAUUUUGGAGAAGAAAGCGAAGCAACAGCAAACCCACAAACAGGUUAGAGCAAUUAAACAACCAUAAAUCUUUUGAGUAAGUGUACAACUCUAAGUCUUUCCUCCAACAUCUAAAUAAACUAAAUCAACAGGUAAGUGAGGAUAAUAGUACAGAAGAUGAGAAAAAGAAAUCUGCAACUGCUGAUCCUGCUCAUAAGGAAUCUCCUCCAGGUGCUCAAACUAUCGGUGAUGUAACGGUUGAUGAGAAUGGAUCUGUUUCUAAACCAGUUGAUGUGGUGGAAAAUGGUUGUUAGAUAGAUUAGUCGAUGCUGCUCACGGCUUGAGCACAAACACAACAAGAGAGAAGGAUUCUCUUGAAAACGAGUGCGGGGAGCUUUGAAGCAAGGAGGAGCUUUAGUACCUAUGACCGAGAACUGUUUCUUUUCCCUUAGAAAUUAAAAUCAAUUUUGUUUGUUUUCACAUGUCUUUACAAUUUUCUGUUUUUUCGCUUUUUCAUUUUCUGUUGAUGCUGUUACCCUAC
rnacentral:lncRNA from 1 species